rnacentral:rRNA from 1 species
UAAAGGGAGCGUAGGCGGCUGAUUAAGUCAGCGGUGAAAGGUAGCAGCUUAACUGUUUUACAUGCCGUUGAUACUGGUUAGCUUGAGUUGACAGAAGGCAGAUAGAAUUCCUGGUGUAGCGGUGAAAUGCUUAGAUACCAGGAGGAAUACCGAUUGCGAAGGCAGUCUGCUGCAGUCACACUGACGCUGAGGCUCGAAGGUGCGGGGAUCAAACAGGAUUAGAUACCCGU